GCGAUGAUGAUGUUUUUUGGUUUUGAGCAGCACUGAAAAAGAACUACCAAUUCCUCUAAGAAGUUCUGAGCUC
rnacentral:snoRNA from 11 species